rnacentral:rRNA from 1 species
AUGGAGUACGCAAAAACCAUAGCUGGCCUGUUCGCCAUGCUGCUCCUUGGUCCGGCUCUGGCCACCGACUCUGACCCUCUCCAGGACUUUUGUGUCGCUGACCUGGACGGCAAGGCGGUCUCGGUGAACGGGCACCCAUGCAAGCCCAUGUCGGAGGCCGGCGACGACUUCCUCUUCUCGUCCAAGCUGGCCAAGGCCGGCAACACGUCCACCCCGAACGGCUCGGCCGUGACGGAGCUUGACGUGGCUGAGUGGCCCGGUACCAACACGCUGGGCGUGUCGAUGAACCGUGUGGACUUCGCGCCGGGGGGCACCAACCCGCCACACAUCCACCCCCGUGCCACCGAGAUCGGCAUCAUGAUGAAAGGUGAGCUCCUCGUUGGAAUCCUUGGCAGCCUUGACUCGGGGAACAAGCUCUACUCCAGGGUGGUGCGCGCUGGGGAGACGUUCCUCAUCCCGCGCGGCCUCAUGCACUUCCAGUUCAACGUCGGUAAGACCGAUGCUUCCAUGGUCGUCUCCUUCAACAGCCAAAACCCCGGCAUCGUCUUUGUGCCGCUCACGCUUUUCGGCUCCAACCCGCCCAUCCCAACGCCGGUGCUCACCAAGGCACUCCGGGUGGAGGCCAGGGUCGUGGAACUUCUCAAGUCCAAGUUCUCCGCUGGGUUUUAA